rnacentral:rRNA from 1 species
AAGGGUGAGGAACGCGUGAGUAAGUCUGCCCUCGAAAGUUGGGAAUAACAGCUGGAAACGGCUGCCUAAUACCGAAUGUGGACUGCAAGACCGCAUGAUUUUGCAGUUAAAGAUUUAUUGCUUGAGGAUGAGCUCGCGUCCCAUUAGCUAGUUGGUGAGGCAACGGCUCACCAAGGCGAUGAUGGGUAGCUGGCUGAGAGGAUGGUCAGCCACACUGGGACUGAGACACUGCCCAGACUCCUACGGGAGGCUGCAGUCGAGAAUCUUGGGCAAUGCGCGAAAGCGUGAACCCCCAGCAAUGCCGCGUGCGCGAUGAAGGUCUUCGGAUCGUAAAGCGCUGUCAACCGGGACGAAUUUUGACGGUACCGGUGGAGGAAGCCACGGCUAACUACGUGCCAGCAGCCGC